AGCCGCGGCCACGGGUCAUCACAACGACGACCUGGUUGGAGAACAGAGUCGAGUAGGACGCCAUCUCCGGGACGCCGCUGAACCACAGCCCGUUCCAGGGCCCCGUCCGGUACUUCUUGGUGUUGCCUUGCCAGGAGACGCAGUCCGGGAGGCCCCUCGUGUCCAUCACACGCCGGCAGUCCCCGGUCGUCGGGUCGUUCGGCGCGCGCCACGACGUGAGCGACCACUCCGCGCCAGUCUUCGGGUCCUUGCCGAGUCUCAUGCCGGCGAGCAAGGUGUUCGACGGGUGGUCGAACGACUGCCAGAGCACGUUGCCGCUGCUCAGCUGUCGCACGACUAGGUUGCCGGACUCAAGUAGCUGCGCCACGGCAGGAGCGGAACUCGUCGUGUUGGAAGACCACACGGUCUGGCCGGAGCCGUCGAGAAGGCGAAGGCUCCCGGUGCUGCCGACUGCCAGUACUCCUACUCCUGAGGUGUUGCUAAUGGGGGCGUCACGGUUGGCGACCCAACAGACGGCAUCCGGGGACGCGGUGAACCAGAUGCCAAGGUACCUCUUUGCUGACACGCCGGUCGGGGAGAAGAAGCCCAGGGUGAAUGAGCUGCCGGAUGAGACCAAAAUCUCGCCGUCGGUGAUGUUGCCAUCGCUGCUGAGCGUGUCAGAUGCGAUGCCAGCGGCCGAGCCUCUGAGAAAAAGCAAGAGCACGGGGAAAAUCAUGGCGGGAAGAUUGAGAAAUCUGUUGGUUGGUGACUCCAUGAUAGACGAUGCUAGAAUCU
rnacentral:misc_RNA from 1 species